GACGAACGCUGGCGGCGUGCUUAACACAUGCAAGUCGAACGGAAAGGCCUGCUUUCCCUUGUGGAUUGCGGGUACUCGAGUGGCGAACGGGUGAGUAACACGUGAGUGAUCUGCCCCCAACUUGGGUAUAAGCCUGGGAAACUGGGUCUAAUUCCCGAUAGGACUGCAGGGUGGUGCCUGUGGUGGAAAACGAUUUUCUAGUGGUUGGGGAUGAGCUCGCGGCCUAUCAGCUUGUUGGUGGGGUAAUGGCCUACCAAGGCGGCGACGGGUAGCCGGCCUGAGAGGGUGGACGGCCACAGUGGGACUGAGAUACGGCCCAGACUCCUACGGGAGGCAGCAGUGGGGAAUAUUGCACAAUGGGCGGAAGCCUGAUGCAGCGACGCCGAGUGGGGGAUGACGGCCUUCGGGUUGUAAACUCCUUUCGACCGCGAGGAAGCCACCUGGUUGGAAGGGUGGUGACGGUAGUGGUAGAAGAAGCACCGGCUAACUACGUG
rnacentral:rRNA from 1 species